rnacentral:hammerhead_ribozyme from 1 species
GCAUUACUGAUGAAUCCCAAACAGGACGAAACAGCUGUCUAGUGC